rnacentral:ncRNA from 1 species
GCUGGUCGGUGUUGACGCAAUGUGAUUUCUGCCCAGUGCUCUGAAUGUCAACGUGAAGAGAUUCAUCAAAGCGCGGGUAAACGGCGGGAGUAACUAUGACUCUCUUGUAGGUAAGGGAAGUCUUGUAGGUAAGGGAAGUUGCCAGGAGAGCCCGUGACGAAACUGCGAAGUCCCCGUCUCAUCAGCGGAAUCUAAGCGGUGCGGGCACCCCGGGCAGGGGGGGGAUCUUCAACCGGGUUACUCAGCGUGUGGAAACCCCCACCAAGCGUCCCGCUCGGGGCGCUGGAGGGAUUGCGCUGGCCCAACCGAACCCCCAUAUCCCUACUCACCGAGGAGAAGUCAAUCGCAGUGCAACUGUCCAGGGAGAGUCGGAACGCUCUGUCACCCCUUUGUCGGGGGACACCCGGUCGACGAUGUGGGUAUCAGAGACCGGGGCGGACCAACAAUCCUUGCCACAUAAAGCGGCAACAGUUUGGACGGCGGAACAACGAGGAAAUGGUGGCCAAGAAAGUGCGCACUCUGCAAAUGCAGAUGCAUCAGCACUAGUCGCAGCCCUCCAGGAUGAUGAAGAGGCUCCUCUGGGAGAAAGCAGAAAUGCCACCCAGACUCAGCAGUCUACAACCCCAUGUGCUACACCCUUCGAGUGCUCCGAUUGUGGUCGGGCAUUCAAGACGAAAGCGGGACGCACACUACAUUCCAAGGCACGCCACCCAGUGGAAGCCAAUGCGGAGGUAGUGGUGGAGCGAGUAAAGCCCCGAUGGGAAGCUGAGGAGCGAUACCUACUCGCUAAGCGAGAGGUAGAACUCCGACGCGCGGGGUCCAGGUUCUUGAAUGUGGACCUGCGCAACUCGUUCCCAGCACGAACGCUGGAGUCGAUAAAAGGACAAAGAAAGAAGGAUGAGUACAAACAGCUG